UCAGAGAAAAGUUUAAAAACAUAUUAGUUUGGGGAAUUGAAGAUGAAGAUAUUAUUCUUUUCUCUGA
rnacentral:tRNA from 1 species